UCACAGAUGCGCCAGCAAGAUGUGCACCAACAAUUUGUCCUCUUUUGAACUCUGUGACUGUACAGGCUGCUGGGUGUGCAGCAUAAGUGACAGUGCGUGGGUGAGAGCAGGGCUCCAGUGCACCAUGGUGUGGCCUCUCCAUCACUGUUUCUCCUGCUUUGACAGGCCCUGGGUCUGGGGCCCAUCAGGGUCUUGCUGAGUGCAUUCAAACUGUGCACUGCUGAGGAAGGGAUUCUGUAUCCUUAUAAUGAAUUACUCUCUCACAUCACCUGUCCAAAAGGAUUCUGUUGACUGGCAGACUGCAACAUGCAUGUAGAAUGCAGGUAAUCAUGCAACCUCAGGGAGGCUCUUCUGCCCAUGGGAUGCAUGGGAGUUUGUUCGAUGCUGACUGCAAUGUUAAAAUGUAAAGGUAAUUUUCUACAUGUUCAUGUUUCAAGUAUGACUAGCAAAUUACAUAUUUAUUACAAUAUCCUGUAACGGUAUUCAUUGAAUGUUUUUUUUCCCUCUGCGUCCCCCUGUUUGGGGGAUUUUAUGUUGUAAACCAAUAUUGAAUAUCGGAUAACUAUAAAGUUAUAAAUAAGACAAUAAUAUGUUUUUCAACAUCUCUUAAAAAACUAAAAAAACAUUCUUUUUCUCUUUUAUAAAGGCCUGAUUUUUGAAUUGUACGCGGAAUUGUCAACUAAUUUUUCCUCCUGAGUCUGUGUUUUAAUAGUUUUACACUUGUGCCAUUCUCGUUUUAGUUUCAGAUGACGAAUUGAAUAAAAGCUUUUAAAAUUGGUUUAUAUCCUAUCCCUGUUUUAAACUACUCUGCAACUUUCUCCCUGACCUGUCAUGUCAAGUUCUGUUGGUUUAAGGUUUUGCAGUGUAUCCCUUUUUUUAACUUCCUCUUUUAUUUUGUGGAGUAAUUUCCUGUGUCAUUUCAGAGAACUUCACUUCGUGUGAUUCCCUUCUUCAAUCAACCUCUGCCACACCCUAAUGUUAUCCACCUGUGUCUCAUUGUCCUCCUUUGUUUGUUUGCCUAUUUAUUCGUCACCCCGUGCAGAUUCCUUUGGCAGUUCAUCUUUAUCCUCGUCCCUUGUGUCAAGCAAUCCAGUCUUUCUUUAAAACCUUGCCUUUCAGUGAUUUUUGACCCAGCUAGUAUUUUGGAUUCGCCUCUGCCUCUAUUUGGAAACUUCAGCUUGGAUUGGAUUGGAUUUCUGUGUAUCGACCUUGGACUGUAUUAAAGGAUUACAGAUUUUA